GGGGGCGUGGCAGAGUCUGGCCGAUUGCGCCUGCCUUGAAAGCAGGAGGCCUUCACGGGCCCGGGGGUUCAAAUCCCUCCGCCUCCU
rnacentral:tRNA from 1 species